rnacentral:lncRNA from 1 species
UCUGAACAUAUUAACUCAUUUAAUUCUCAUAACAAUCCAAUGAAUAGAAAUCUGAAUUCUUUUCAUUUCACACAUGAAGAAACUGCAGCUUAAAGGUUAAAUAACUUGCUCUCAUUUUUUGAGGUUGUAAGCGGCAGAGCUGGUAUUGGUAAAUGAUGCGGUGGGCAAGAAUUUGCUUUACAACAUUACCCAAGGAUUUGGGAUGGAGCCCAGGAAGCUGUAUUUAACUGGCACGAAAUGAUUUUGCUCUAAGUGAUUUGAGAACCACGCCGUGGGAAACAUUGACCUGCCUUUAGCACAGAGAAGAGCCAAGAGGGAGAAAAUUAGCAUUUCAGGGCGUACUACACAAACAUUAGCACCUUGACAAAUCAACCUGUGUACUAUAAAUACAUAUUUGCAAUAAAUAAUACUAUGGA